AUCCAGCUGAUGAGUCCAAAAUGGGACGAAACGCGCGUCCUGGAU
rfam:Schistosoma rodhaini strain Burundi genome assembly, scaffold: SROB_scaffold0022630